rnacentral:rRNA from 1 species
AGUGAACGCUGGCGGUAGGCCUAACACAUGCAAGUCGAACGGCAGCACAGUAAGAGCUUGCUCUUACGGGUGGCGAGUGGCGGACGGGUGAGGAAUACAUCGGAAUCUACUUUUUCGUGGGGGAUAACGUAGGGAAACCUACGCUAAUACCGCAUACGACCUACGGGUGAAGGCAGGGGAUCUUCGGACCUUGCGCGAUUGAAUGAGCCGAUGUCGGAUUAGCUAGUUGGCGGGGUAAAGGCCCACCAAGGCGACGAUCCGUAGCUGGUCUGAGAGGAUGAUCAGCCACACUGGAACUGAGACACGGUCCAGACUCCUACGGGAGGCAGCAGUGGGGAAUAUUGGACAAUGGGCGCAAGCCUGAUCCAGCCAUACCGCGUGGGUGAAGAAGGCCUUCGGGUUGUAAAGCCCUUUUGUUGGGAAAGAAAAGCAGCAGGUUAAUACCCCGCUGUUCUGACGGUACCCAAAGAAUAAGCACCGGCUAACUUCGUG